rnacentral:rRNA from 1 species
GACUCAACACGGGGAAACUCACCAGGUCCAGACAUAACUAGGAUUGACAGAUUGAUAGCUCUUUCUUGAUUUUAUGGGUGGUGGUGCAUGGCCGUUCUUAGUUGGUGGAGUGAUUUGUCUGGUUAAUUCCGAUAACGAACGAGACCUUAACCUGCUAAAUAGCCAGACCGUCUUUUGAUGGUUGCAGGCUUCUUAGAGGGACUGUCAGGAUCUACCUGACGGAAGUUUGAGGCAAUAACAGGUCUGUGAUGCCCUUAGAUGUUCUGGGCCGCACGCGCGCUACACUGACAAAGCCAGCGAGUUUAUCACCUUGGCCGGAAGGUCCGGGUAAUCUUGUGAAACUUUGUCGUGCUGGGGAUAGAGCAUUGCAAUUAUUGCUCUUCAACGAGGAAUGCCUAGUAAGCGCAAGUCAUCAGCUUGCGUUGAUUACGUCCCUGCCCUUUGUACACACCGCCCGUCGCUACUACCGAUUGAAUGGCUUAGUGAGGUCUUUGGAUUGGCUUUAGGGACCCGGCAACGGGACUCUGUUGCUGAGAAGUUGAUCAAACUUGGUCAUUUAGAGGAAGUAAAAGUCGUAACAAGGUUUCCGUAGCUCAAGUCUACGAAGAACAGCAAUGUUCCUUCUGCAGAGUACACUUGCCGAAGCCUUAGUGGCCUGAAAGGGUUUCACCAGCGACUCUAAACAAGUAGGUGGAUUAAACGCUAGUCUCUUUGGAAGAGGCGACACUAUCAAAUUGCGGGAAGAUCCUGUCAGGUCCACAUCACCGCGGCUCACCGAAAGGUGUAGUGCAGCACCAGGCUAACAACYUUGGGUAUGGUAAUAGUAUGUGGAAUAGGGAGAAUCUGCAGCCAAGCCCCUCUCUUGGGGUGCAGUUCACAGGCCAAAUGGUAGUGGGCACUCUGGUGCUUAAGAUAUGGUCGAGUCCCAAUUGAAAAGUUGGGUACAAGUACUCUGAUUGAUUACAUACAGUCUGUGCUGGUUGUAAAUGCAAAUGUUCCGUAGGUGAACCUGCGGAAGGAUCAUUAAUGAAUUAAAGUCGGUCUUCUGUGCUGGUGGCAACACAUGUGCACGUUGAUCGCAAAUCCACACACCUGUGCACCUUUGACUUUGGGAUCUGCUUGUCUGACUUGGCUUUGUGCCUGUCUGGGUCCCAGAGUAUUUUUACACACUCUGAAUGUAAUGGAAUGUAUCUGUGCAUAAUGCGCAAAAAUACAACUUUCAACAACGGAUCUCUUGGCUCUCGCACCGAUGAAGAACGCAGCGAAAUGCGAUAAGUAAUGUGAAUUGCAGAAUUCAGUGAAUCAUCGAAUCUUUGAACGCACCUUGCACCCUUUGGUAUUCCGAAGGGUACACCCGUCUGAGUGUCAUUGUAAUCUCACUCCACCAGCUAUUUGUUGAUGGAUGUGGACCUGGACUCUGUUGUGUUACUACAACUAGUCUGAAAUGCAUGAGUGCACCCUGCUGUUGCAGCGUUUUCAGUGUGAUAAGCAUCUUCACUGAAUCAAGCUCCCUUGGGACACGUGGCAUUGUGGGCUCUGUGCUGGCAAACUGUCUUUGGACAACUUUGACAAUUUGACCUCAGAUCGGGUGGGACUUMCCCGYUGAACUUARGCAUWYMAAUAAGGCGGAGGGAAAAGAAACYWACAAGGRUUCCCCUAGUAMSGGCGAGUGAARRGSGRAAASSUCMAAWUUUGAAUCCUKGUGUCUUYGGCAUCCGAGGUUGUAAUCUAGAGGAAGUGUUUUUUGCCUUGGACCCACMMAUAAAUUCCCUGGAAUGGGGUGUCAUAGAGGGUGAGAAUCCCGUUUGUGGUGUGGACUACCUCGGCUAUGUAAUACACUCUCAACGAGUCGAGUUGUUUGGGAAUGCAGCUCAAAAUGGGUGGUAAAUUCCAUCUAAAGCUAAAUACUGGCGAGAGACCGAUAGCGAACAAGUACCGUGAGGGAAAGAUGAAAAGCACUUUGGAAAGAGAGUGAAAUAGUACGUGAAAAUUGUUGAAAGGGAAGCGUUUGAAGUCAGUCACAUUGGUCAGAAUUCAGCCUGGCUUCUGCCUGGUUUACUUUUUGGCAAAUGGGUCAGCAUCAAUUUUGAUUGAGGGAGAAAGACUUGAGGAAAUGUGGCUGUCUUCGGACAGUGUUAUAGCCUCUUGUUGUAUGUCUCAAUUGGGAUUGAGGAAUGCAGCACGCCUUAUGGCCGGGGUUCGCCCUCGGUACGUGCUUAGGAUGUUGACAUAAUGGCUUUAAGCGACCCGUCUUGAAACACGGACCAAGGAGUCUAACAUGUGCGCGAGUGUUUAGGUGUCAAACCUGGGCGCGUAAUGAAAGUGAAAAGUCGGGAUCAUGUACUUUGUGCACCGACACCCGGAGCAGACCUUCUGUGACGCAUCCGCGGUAGAGCGUAUAUGUUGGGACCCGAAAGAUGGUGAACUAUGCCUGAAUAGGGUGAAGCCAGAGGAAACUCUGGUGGAGGCUCGUAGCGAUUCUGACGUGCAAAUCGAUCGUCAAAUUUGGGUAUAGGGGCGAAAGACUAAUCGAACCAUCUAGUAGCUGGUUCCUGCCGAAGUUUCCCUCAGGAUAGCAGAAACUCAUUAUCAGCCUUGUGCGGUAAAGCGAAUGAUUAGAGGCCUUGGGGUUGAAACAACCUUAACCUAUUCUCAAACUCUAAAUGUGCAAGAUAGAGUUGUCACUUGAUUGGACUUCUCUGUGGGUGAGAGUUUCUAGUGGG